rnacentral:rRNA from 1 species
UGACCUCGGAUCAGGUAGGGAUACCCGCUGAACUUAAGCAUAUCAAUAAGCGGAGGAAAAGAAACCAACAGGGAUUGCCUCAGUAACGGCGAGUGAAGCGGCAAGAGCUCAAAUUUGAAAUCUGGCCCCUUCGGGGUCCGAGUUGUAAUUUGGAGAGGAUGCUUCGGGUACGGCCCCCGUCUAAGUGCCCUGGAACGGGCCGUCAUAGAGGGUGAGAAUCCCGUCUGGGACGGGUGGCCGGGCCCGUGUGAAGCUCCUUCGACGAGUCGAGUUGUUUGGGAAUGCAGCUCUAAAUGGGUGGUAAAUUUCAUCUAAAGCUAAAUAUUGGCCGGAGACCGAUAGCGAACAAGUAGAGUGAUCGAAAGAUGAAAAGCACUUUGAAAAGAGAGUUAAACAGCACGUGAAAUUGUUGAAAGGGAAGCGCUUGCGACCAGACUCGCCCGGGGAGGCUCAGCCGGCACUCGUGCCGGUGCAUUCCCCCCCGGGCGGGCCAGCGUCGGUUUGGGCGGUCGGUCAAAGGCCCCCGGAAUGUGUCGCCCUCCGGGGCGUCUUAUAGCCGGGGGUGCAAUGCGGCCAGCCUGGACCGAGGAACGCGCUUCGGCUCGGACGCUGGCGUAAUGGUCGUAAACGACC